UACGGGGGGUGCGAGCGUUGUUCGGAAUUACUGGGCGUAAAGGGCGCGUAGGCGGCUUGGUCAGUCCCGUGUGAAAUCCCUCGGCUCAACUGAGGAACUGCACGGGAAACUGCCUGGCUUGAGUUCGGGAGAGGGAAGCGGAAUUCCGGGUGUAGCGGUGAAAUGCGUAGAUAUCCGGAGGAACACCGGUGGCGAAGGCGGCUUCCUGGACCGACACUGACGCUGAGGCGCGAAAGCUAGGGGAGCAAACGGG
rnacentral:rRNA from 1 species